rnacentral:lncRNA from 1 species
AAGUUGAGUUGCAUGCAUCAGAGCAGUGUGUUGUUAGGUACCUCACAGAGAGAACCACAAGAAAAAUGUUAAGCUAACAACUCUUACCUAACUACAAUUGUUUGCAUCCAAUACUAUGAUUCCAAGUGUCCUUCAUUAGUUUUAUAUAUAAUUCAAAUUUCUAAAUAUUAAAUUUCUCUCAACAAACAAGUUAUUGCAAGUUCUAUAAUAAGUAUUUGAUUUGUAUCUUGAAUACUUAUGGAGAAAGAAGAACAAGACCAAGCUGCUGUAUCUAUAUGGGAUUGUGGGAGUCCUUUGUAUGAUUCUUAUGAGUUAGUUUCAUUUACUUACUUUAUCGAGCGACACAUGAUGGUGUUGCCUUUGUCUAUUUUAUCGAGUCAGUUUCAAUCGAGUACAUCAAAGACUCAUGUGAUGGUGUUGCCUUCGUCUGAAAGGCACGGGUCGAGCACAUCAAGAUCAUCAGAGAAGGAAACAACUAUCAUGAAGAUGAAGAAGUUUUUCCAUAUCAAAGACAAGGUAAAGAAGGCAAGGAAUAGAUUUUAUAGUUUUCUUGCUCGGAUUGGUUUAUGAAGAAUUAAUAAGAAAAUCUAACAAUGGGCUGAUUAAUUUAUCAGCAUUGUUUCUACUCAUAUGCUUGUAUUUAUUUUUUACAAAAUAAAGUAAAUUACUUAUGAAAGUUCAUCAAAAUUACUUUACCCAAACAAGGAGAUACUUCUGUUUAUUUAUUUUUCUCUCUUUCGGGUGGCUGAGCAAUUUUACGGGCGGGCAUUUCGAAAUAUGAGUUAACUUCACACGGUUGACGGGUAACGUCCCCAACUAUUAAUAAAAAUUUCUUUUUUAAUAAUAUUAAC